AGCAGCCGCGGUAAUUCCAGCUCCAAUAGCGUAUAUUAAAGUUGUUGCAGUUAAAAAGCUCGUAGUUGAAUUUCGGGGUCAGUAGGUCGGUCGUGCCACUGGUAUGAACUGGUUUUACUGAUUCCUCCCUCUUGAAGAACUGUAAUGCCACUAAUUUGGUGUUGCAGGGAAUCAGGACUGUUACUUUGAAAAAAUUAGAGUGUUUAAAGCAGGCUUUAGCUUGAAUACAUUAGCAUGGAAUAAUGAAAUAGGACGUUUGAUCCUAUUUUGUUGGUUUCUAGGAUUGACGUAAUGAUUAAUAGGGAUAGUUGGGGGCAUUAGUAUUCAAUUGUCAGAGGUGAAAUUCUUGGAUUUAUUGAAGACUAACUACUGCGAAAGCAUUUGCCAAGGAUGUUUUCAUUAAUCAAGAACGAAAGUUAGGGGAUCGAAGACGAUCAGAUACCGUCGUAGUCUUAACCAUAAACUAUGCCGACUAGGGAUCGGAUGAUGUUAAUUUUUUAAUGACUCAUUCGGCGCCUUACG
rnacentral:rRNA from 1 species